GCGGAAGGAUCAUUACCUAGAGUUGUAGGCUUUGCCUGCUAUCUCUUACCCAUGUCUUUUGAGUACCUUACGUUUCCUCGGUGGGUUCGCCCACCGAUUGGACAAAUUUAAACCCUUUGCAGUUGAAAUCAGCGUCUGAAAAAACUUAAUAGUUACAACUUUCAACAACGGAUCUCUUGGUUCUGGCAUCGAUGAAGAACGCAGCGAAAUGCGAUAAGUAGUGUGAAUUGCAGAAUUCAGUGAAUCAUCGAAUCUUUGAACGCACAUUGCGCCCCUUGGUAUUCCAUGGGGCAUGCCUGUUCGAGCGUCAUUUGUACCUUCAAGCUCUGCUUGGUGUUGGGUGUUUGUCUCCUGUAGACUCGCCUCAAAACAAUUGGCAGCCGGCGUAUUGAUUUCGGAGCGCAGUACAUCUCGCGCUUUGCACUCAUAACGACGACAUCCAAAAGUACAUUUUUACACUCUUGACCUCGGAUCAGGUAGGGAUACCCGCUGAACUUAAGCAUAUCA
rnacentral:rRNA from 1 species